rnacentral:rRNA from 1 species
AGAGUUUGAUCAUGGCUCAGAACGAACGUUGGCGGCGUGGAUUAGGCAUGCAAGUCGAGCGAAUCCCAGCAAUGGGGGAAGCGGCGAAAGGGGCAGUAAAGCGUGGAUAACCUACCCUGGGGACCGGCAUAGCCGUUCUAACGAACGGGUAAUUCCGGGCAACGUCCGCGAGGGACAUCCCUUGCUGACCAGAUGAAUUUCGCCCUGGGAGGGGUUCACGUGCUAUUACCUAGUUGGCGGGGUAACGGCCCACCAAGGGAAAGAUGGCUAGCGGGUGUGAGAGCACGACCCGCGCCACUGGCACUGAGACACUGGCCAGACUCCUACGGGAGGCUGCAGUCGAGGAUCUUCGGCAAUGUGCGCAAGCAUGACCGAGCGACGCCGCGUGGACGACGAAGGCCCUCGGGUUGUAAAGUCCAAAGGCAUCAAGGAAAGGCAACUUGACCGAGAUGCAGUAAGCACGGGCUAAGUUCGUGCCAGCCGCCGCGGUAAUUC